AGCAGCCGCGGUAAUUCCAGCUCCAAUAGCGUAUAUUAAAGUUGUUGCAGUUAAAAAGCUCGUAGUUGAAUUUCGGGAUCAACACGUCGGUCGUGCCUCUGGUAUGUACUGGUGUCGUUGAUUUCUCCCUUCUGAGGAACCAUGAUGUCAUUAAUUUGGUGUGGUGGGAAAUCAGGACUGUUACUUUGAAAAAUUAGAGUGUUUAAAGCAGGCAUACGCUUGAAUACAUUAGCAUGGAAUAAUGAAAUAGGACGUUCGAUCCUAUUUUGUUGGUUUCUAGGAUUGACGUAAUGAUUAAUAGGGAUAGUUGGGGGCAUUAGUAUUCAAUUGUCAGAGGUGAAAUUCUUGGAUUUAUUGAAGACUGACUACUGCGAAAGCAUUUGCCAAGGAU
rnacentral:rRNA from 1 species